UCUCUGGUGGACUAGUGGCUAGCAUGAGGCGCUCUCAUCACCGCUGUCCGGGUUCGAUUCACGGUCAGUAAA